CUCAUAUACCUUUCUGUUAGAAUUGCUCUGAUUACCUAUGGGAUUUAUGUUAUUCAAGUUGAGAUAUGUGUUUUGUGAAUUGGAGAUUGAUGUUGAUUUGGGGAGCAGGGUGGCUCCAGGGGCAUAAGGAUGAUUCGAUUGAGAAGUGUAAAUGUUCCCUACAGGUUUGGGUUGCCCAUUUUAGGGGAUGUUCCGCCAAAUUUUUGGUAGAAUUUCUUCUAAGGUGGGCCCCGCAGGGUCACUUCGGAUUUCAGGGUGAAAUCCGGGGCGGGUCCUGUCAGUUGGUAUCAGAGCAUUAGGUUGUCAGAUUCUGUAGACUUGUUUCUAUCCUGUUACCUUACACGCUUGAUGUUACACAGUACCUCCCGAGUGAUGGCCCGACUGCAGCGGUUCCCCAUCGUUUACUCUUCGGUGCUGAUGUAUUCAUUAAGUGUGUAAGGUGCAUGUCUAGAUGAUGUUCCUUUAGGUGCUAUGCCUUUUGUACGCCGACCUCCUAGGGUUUUCGUUGCGUAGUGGAUUGUUUGCAUGUUUUCCACAUUUCCCUGCUGAUGGUAGAGUAAGACUAUACAAUUUUGAGUUGUGCUACGAAAUAUGAUUCGAGAAAAUGUUGUGGUUAUUUCUUCCUCGACUCCAGUAAGUUUAUUGGAGCAAGGUUAAUGUGUGAGACUGGAGUUCUAUUUCGUGCUUGAGUGUCUGAGACGAGCAACCAUAGCUUUGGCUGUCCCUUGAUAAUAUAAUUGCUUCAGGAAUCAGGAUUGUUGUUAGAAGCAGAAUUAGUAGUAAUGGUGGUUCUCACUUUGAACCCAGUUUCGGGUGAUGUCUACUUAACGUGACCGGUUACAUAAGCGACAUCUGAGACAUUACUGCAGCCGUUGGAGAUUACUUGAAAAUCAUAGGACUGGUCAUCUUGAGUCAUUGACCUGACCAUGACAUUUGGAUUUAGUUUUAUUCGUAGUGAAAGAAAUUGAUUCCAGAUAAUUUGAGCUAUUGUAUCAUCUUAUUAAGUUCUAGAUUGUAGAGAAUUGGGAGAUGGAUAGAAUGGACUUUUGAAAUAAUUUAUGUUUGAAACUUGAGUAUUUAUUUGGAUGCUUGAAGUUUUACAAUGGAGUUACGAUCUUUGUCGGUAUUCAAUUGGGAGGAUUAGGAAUAACUUUUGUACUUGAGAUUGUGCCGAUGUCUGUCCUUGAUUAUUUGAGUGGAAUGGUUGAAAGUAACGGAAUGUUUUGGAAGAAUUGAGUGAAUUUUUACUACCUUGGUGCCAUUACUGGUGGCGAUGGGUUAAGUUGUUUAUGAUAUUAGUUCUCGCUUUGAUCGACCUUUUUACGACAUGAUGACUCUUGAUUGGAAUAGUGUAGAAAGUUUUGGUACGAGUGAUAUCUGAUCACCAUCAUGUGUUUAAUAGUAAGAUGACUUGAACAGGAAGUAGGAGUUGAGUUUGGAAUUAAUUGAUUGGACUUAAGUUUUAUCAAGGUUUCAACCGACAUUUAAUGAAGGUAUUAAAUGGUGAGCUGCUAUGAUUGAGUUGUGUUGUUGGUUUAUUUCUCAGUGAGAAGAGGUUCGGAAUUUGGUGCGAAUUUGGUUAGCACAGGGAAGUUAUUGAGAUUAUUGUUGUAGCCGAAAUCUUAUUAAUUAAGUGUGGUUCGGAGAGCGGAUUUCAGCGAUCUUAUUCUCAUUUCAGUGAAGACGAUUGUCACUUGAGAAUAUCGACUUUAAGUAAACUUUGAGUAUUCCACAGUUUUGUUCAAGUGAAGGAAAUUGAUUUUUUUUGGCUCUUUGAGUUAUGAAUUAGUCUUUUUAAAUUAGGGAUCGUAUGGAGAUGUACAGUAGUGAGUUUUUGAAGUUGUUUCUAUGUUUUAAGUUUAAGUAAGCGGGACGCUUAAAGCUUUUCAAGGGAUUAGAACCAACUCUUUGUAAAUGAUGUUGUACAAGUUUGUCUUUGGUGUUUCAUUUUCGGUGAAAUGGUUUAAUGCAAAUUCGGGGAGUGACGGUAGUGACACUGUUGGGUAUCCAUAGUGGUUCAAGCGAAUUACUAUGUGAUACGGAGUUUGAUUCGAAUUCUAAAUCGUGAAGUCAUUGGGAUUGAAUUGUGGUAAGUUCUUGGUGGAGCAAGCGAUAGAUGGAAUGGUUGAGAUUUUAUAAGAGUAGUAAGUAGAGUAACUCUAAGGACAUGGGUUUUCCCAGUUGACUCGGAAAGUAUUUCAGGUCAUAGUUUGACCAGAGUUCUGAGUUGUAUUUUGAGAAAAACUUUUUGUGGGUUGAACUUGGAAAUUUGAUCGUUAGGUGGUGGGACCACCUUCGGAUCUUGGUAUCGUUGGGAGUGAUACAUGAUGUUGGACGGGUGUCCUUAACCUUGAAACUGGUGAUGAGGUCAGGGGGGAAUGGCCCCGUGUAGCAAGAAUUUGGAAUUUGAAACCAAUUAAGAGUGCAAAAAGGGGUGUAUUGAAAUUUUGAAAGGUUUCAGAAAUCAAGGACAUUCGGAUCGUCUUACGAUGGUUUUGAUCAUGUUUAUUGCGCAUGAAGGUACUAUUAGGUGUCAUUGGAUAUCCAUUUGGGUGAAAUUGUUGAACUUGAGAUCAAGAAAUAGUCGUCGUGACGCCACAGGGUGUCCAUAGUAAUUCAAGUGGAAGUGCUAGGUGAUGUGGUUAUGAUCUUAGUUUAAAAUCCUUGAGUUAUGGCGAAGGUUGGUAGUAGUUUUCGUUGCGGGGUGAUGCUAGUCAACAAGUUUCGGGAUUCUGGUAGCAUUCUAUGAGGGAUUUCUCGAUUAGUCUUUUGGGGACUAUGAAAGAAUUUAUUUCCUUCUUGUGGAUUACGUUGUUGCUUCAAUAUCUCUUUUUCUUAAUUCACGAGUUGAUUUCUUUUCUCUCUGCAGUAUUUGAGGUGCUUUACGCCCACGUAACACUACGCUUUUACUUACUUAUAGAACCAUUAACAGGUUGCUUUGAACAUAAGGUUUUUCAAUCACGAAUGGAGGUAAACCUUUCUUUUGGGAUGAAGUGGGAGAAAGACAACUUAUUGGUCCUGAAAUUAUUGGAAUCACAAUAGAUAAAAUUAAGGUGAUUAGAGAGAGACUCAAGACGGCUCAAACCACACAAAAGAGCUACGCUGAUAACCGCAGGAAGUAUCUUGAAUUUCAAGUUGGUGGUUGGGUGUUUUUGAAGUUAUCUCCUUGGAAGGGUGUGGUAAGGUUUGGUAAACGUGGGAAACUUAGUCCAAGGUAUAUUGAUUCCUAUGAAUUUGUGGAACGAAUUGGUCUUGUUGCUUACCGCUUGGCUUUAUCUCCACAACUAUCUGGGAUACAUGAUGUUUUCCACGUAUCCAUGCUUCGCAAGUACAUAGCCGAUUCUUCACGUGUUAUCAGUUUAACCCAUUACACUUAGAGGGGAUUUAACAUAUGAAGAACCAGUACAGAUCCUCGAUCGUCGUGAGCAGGGACUCCGAAGUAAGGUUAUACCUUUGGUUAAGGUAUUGUGGAGGAAUCAUCUCAUCGAAAAAGCUACUUGGGAAUCGGAAGAGCAAAUGAAGCGGCAGUACCCACAUUUUUUUUUUUUUUUUUUUCCAUGACAGGUACAAUUUCGAGGAAGAAAUUUUUUUUAAGGAGGGGAGAUUGUAAUACCCCGUACCUUAAAAUUUUUACUAGUUAAAUUUUACCGUUAUUGACCGAAGAGUGACUUUUUCUUUAGUCCGGUAAAUUAGGAAAUUUCCUUGAGAAUGUCGUAGAAUAUGAAAAAUCGAGUUCGUGGACACGUAGUUUGUUUAAAUCGGAGUUUCUACGGAAAAGUUAUGACCAAAAAUGGAAAUUUACUAUUAUGGUUAUUAUUUCCCUAUUAUUUUAAAGGAAAGUGGGUAAAAAAGGAGAGAGAGAGAGAGUGAAAUCGGGAGAACCCGAUUCCAGCCCCCCCCCCCCUCCUUCUUUCUUCUUUUUCUCUUCUUUCUUUCCUUUCCUUGCUGCGAAACCGGAACCCAUUUCCGGCGAAAUCACCGCCACCGUCCGCACCACCGGCCAUUAGAGGAUCCUCUCUUCCUCCUCUUGCAUCUAAGCUUGUUUUGAUCUAUGGAGGAAGAUUUGAAGGUGUUUGAGCGUGUGAACAGUAACGUGAACAGUAACUGUCGGGUUCUUGGUUUUUGUUUGAUUUCUCCGGCCUUUUCUGCUUGAUUUUGGUUGUUGUUGCAGGACGGAUUGAUCCCUUGAGCGAGGGGAUACGGGUAGGCAGCAGGAUUAGCUGCGAGACUCACCUUUUGCAGGCGAAUGAGUUGAGGUCGGGCGUACACGAAAUUGAGGCAUAGUCAGCAGCAUGGCUUCCGCAUCUGCCUUUGAAUUAGGUACUUUGAGAAGCAGUUAAGGAGAAAGAGAGCUACAAUGGGGCAAUCAAGGCACUUCACAUGAAGUAGUGAUGCAAAGGAUGGACUCUAAUCAUUCAUUGGUCAUAAAACUCAAGAGAAGAUGGAGAAAGUUGCCGUGCAAAACAAUUGCAGAAAAGCAGAAAACAGAGUAUUAGAAUCUACCUUAUUUUCUUCUGUUUUGGGAAGCUAUUUUGAAGAACUUUCGAGUGAAAUUAUGAAGAAAGGCCUGGAAAUAUUUGAAUACCGUAUGUUCUACUAUAACUAUAGGCAAAGAUUUGGUCCAGAGUGAUAAAGAGGAAGCUGGAGGCUGUGCUCAAAGUUGGUACCCCGAGAAGACUGUUUCCAUCAGCUUUUCAGGAAGCUUUUUUAAGGACCUUUCUACUGAACUUAAGGGAUGAAAAUCAUGAAUUUAUCUACCCAGAUUUGACGAAUAUAUGUUGUAGAGAAGUUCAAAAUCAAGAAUCAUCCAGAAAGGUGGUGGAAUGCAUAAGUUAUGAUGCUGCAAAGAUGAGCAGAGGAUAAGAAAAAUCUGGAAUUUCUGACAAGUCUUUCUGCGAAGCAUUUUCAAGGCCGUCGUUGGGCCACGUUUCAAGAAGCUUUCUAGAAGGUUUUUACACGGUUUUGAAGAGUGACAUUAGGAGUAUUAUGUGGCAGAAUAUCACCUUUGAAUCUUCCAGGAACCCUUGUCAAACAUGGAGAGGAAAAUCAAUCCUAGUUGAGAAAGGAAAGUGAAUUAAAGGCUAUAUUUUCUGAAGAUAUUCAUGGCAGAUUUUUGGGACGAAUUUUAUUGGAUUUUUGCUGCAUUAUACUUACCAAGACCAAGAGACGGUUAGAAAGACUUAAGGAAGGUUCAGAAGAUUGUGUGGCAGCUAAGCAAGUGGAAUUGGAGAAGAAUGAGAACUCAACCCGGUUUUGAGGAGAAAAGCUAAGGGUUUGUAAACCAUAAAAAUAGGAGGCUUCUUUGCGUCAUUAGCAGACCAUAUCAUACAGAUUUCACGCCUCAAAACACCCCUAGCUCUCUGGUUUUCAAAGCUCCAUACAAGCAUAAGGAAAAGAAGCUGCCAAAGUUGCCAUCUGCCACCACCGUUGAUACGCUCAAAGCAAGCGCAUAAUUUAACCCUGAAAAUGUCAUCGUUAGUACAUAGUAAAUAGGGAUCAAUCUAAUCCGGGGAUUGAGGGUACACCUGUCAAUAAAAAUACAAGGAUAAUUAUUUACAAAAAUAAAACAAAGUAUAAACAUAUUUACGAAAAAGGGGGGAUUUUGAUUUUUAGUUUCCGAAAAUUAACUAAGUAAGAAGAUAAUAAAAACACAAAAACAUAAAUACAAGGAUGGAAUGAAAGAAACAAAGAUCAAAACCGAAACUAUAAUCAAAUUCAAUUCAACCCUAAUAUUGUUCAUCUAAGUCAUGAGAAAGGAGUUGAUCAUGUGAAACGUUAGAAAGCAAACGAUUUCCCAUAUUUUACUUUUCAAUGCUAAUUAAUCUAAGUGAAAGCACAAAGACUAAUCCUAUCAAACAUGCAUUCAAGCUCUAGAAAGCUAGACAAUCAUAACAUGUUAGACGCAUUAAACACAUAGAAAGGCUAUCAACUCAAGUGUGCAACUUAGUAUGAAAAAGUCCACCUAAUUGCAAUCCUCUUCAAUUAAAUUCGGUUUUUGUCCAAAACCUUUACUACUUUUGACUCAAGUUUACACAAAACAAAAAGUUGAUUCAUGUUCUUAAACCUAGCAUCAUUCAUAUAAAAACCCUAAGUGUUUCGAACCACAUAAGAUCAAAAUACAAAAGAUAUCUAUUAAGCAAAUUUAAUCAAACGAUUCUCACAAAAGCAACUAAGAAUUACAAUAUAGGAGUCGAAAUUCUCAUUCAAUUAAAUAAAUUUCAGAAUCAAAAACCUUGUUCAAACAUAAAUGUUAACUAGAACAACUUCUAACAAAAUCAAACAAGGGGAAUCAAAAGUGAUUACAAGAAAGAAGGUUGAAUUACACCGUGAAUGGAGAUAGUGAUGAAGAACUCGAAUGAUGAACUAAUGAAACUCGAAAGCAAGCUUCAAACUUCACGGCUUCAAGGUGGAAUGGGAGAGGUGCUCACGGCUUCUUCUUGCUUCUUCCUCCCUUGCUUGAAAUCGCAGAAGAUGAACUAGAGAAUGGAGAGAGCUUUCGCGUAUAAAGUAAUUUCUGAAUUAGGGGAACUCCUUUUUGACGUCUUGGGGAGAGAUAUAUAUAGGGAGCGGCAAUACUUGGUCUCCAAGCCGUGAUAUUCUUUUUGUUUUCCAUGGAAUUAAUUUAAUAAUUCCACAUAGCGUCCACCAAUGAAAAAUUGCCAAGUAGGCCCUAGUGUGUCAUCCAACCAAUCACAAAACUCCAAUAUGAUUCCCUAAUAUAUUCUUGCCGAAAUUGCAUGAAUAUAUUCUGAUUUUUUCUCUUUUAUUUCAGCCAAAAUACCUUUAGGGAAUAUAGGAAUGAAUCUAGACGCCUUUUGAGCCGUUUCUUGAUGUCCACACUUCUUCUUUCCUUAAAACUCUCCCUAGAAAAUCUCUUGGCGUAAUCUUUUAUUUGCUUCUUGAUUUACACGCCAACUUCUCUCUUCUCCUUGAUAUUUCACGGCAAAGCCUCUCUAGGGUUUACUCUUUGCGUCACAAACCCUAAUUCCAUGGGCUUUUAUGGGCCUUGAUCUAUUUUGCCGAAAGUCCAAGUCAAUUCAUAGAGUUCUUGGGCUUUGUUGCGUCAACUUCAAGCCUUGUCACCCUCCAACGUCAUGACACUUCAUUUUUCCAUUUCCUUUUCAUGGUUGCGUUGGAAACUUGCUUGGUAAGCUCUCCUCCUUUUCGCAGGGUUUCCUGGUUGGAACAGGAAAGCUUAUUUCUUCAUUUAUGCUUAAUUAUGUGGCCCUUUGUGUCUCAUUUUUGCUCCCCUUAACGUUUGCAAGCUCCCUUUUCCUUUCGUGAGUUCAUUUCCACUUUUUAGCUCCGAGGUCCUGAAAAUAGAAAUUGUUAAUGAAAAAUAGAAACUUUCCUAAAAUGAAAAACGGAAACUUUCCUAAACUAAAAUGGGAAACUUUCUAAAAAUGAAAAAUAGAAACUACAAAAUGGAAACUUUCUACAAAUAGAAACUUUCCCAAUCGAAGAAUGGAAACUUUCCUAAACAGAGUUUUAUUAAGGAAAUAACGCAGGAAAUGUAGGGAGAUAACAGUUAAAACAUCGCAUAAAAAUGCUCCUAUCAACCGUGACCAUCCAUCUUCAAGCAACAUCCACCCUGUUCUUUACUCCCUUUUAUGCGACUUUGUCUUCUUAUUUUCAAUAUGUUUCUGUGUGUUUACCUUAGAACAAUGAGUAGCUAAAUACUUUUGUGUUAGGGGCUAGUUUGAAGCCCUAAACUAUGGUUCAAGUUUCAUAAUAAAUUUCUAUGUUUUAGUUACUUUGUCGAUGAGAUUGUUCUUUGGUUCUGGAUUAGAUGUGUCUUUUAUAUGUAUGUUUUAUGUGGUUGCAAACAUAUAGGAUAUGCAUGUCAUUGGUGCUAGGUUAAAUAGCAAUUCACCUAAUAGUUUUGUGAUUUUAACCGAAGUAGUAAAGCCUCUCGCCAAGGUGUGUACCAAAGAUGAGGAAUGCAACUAGACACGCUUGUUGUACUAGUACUUUGUACACUUAGAUUGACAUCCUUCCACAUGUGCUUAAUGCUUUAGAACUUGCUAAAUGUAGGAGCCGCUUGUGAUCUCUAUGUUGCAUGUUUUCAAAAGGUUCUAAUAACAGCGCUAGAGUUA